CACGUAGGGGGCAAGCGUUGUCCGGAUUUAUUGGGUGUAAAGAGCUCGUAGGCGGUUCGGUAAGUUGGGUGUGAAACCUCCAGGCUCAACCUGGAGACGCCACCCGAUACUGCUGUGACUAGAGUCCGGUAGGGGAGCGUGGAAUUCCUGGUGUAGCGGUGAAAUGCGCAGAUAUCAGGAGGAACACCGGUGGCGAAGGCGGGUCUCUGGACAGUUCCUGACGCUGAGGCACGAAGGCCAGGGGAGCAAACGGG
rnacentral:rRNA from 1 species